rnacentral:rRNA from 1 species
UGCAGAAUCCCGUGAACCAUCGAGUCUUUGAACGCAAGUUGCGCCCGAGGGAUCCUCCCGAGGGCACGCCUGCCUCAUGGGCGUUAGAAGCCCAUCCACGCUCGGUUGCCUAUCGGCAAAGAUGCGGACAUUGGCCCUCCGAACCGCGAGGUGCGGUGGGCCUAAGUGUGCGGCCGUCGUAUGUGGCCGGGAGCGGCGAGUGGUGGGCUACUGCGCACGUCACCCCGAGCCCCGUACCGACACAGGACCUUUUUUGACCCCAAACGAGGAGCUUGCCGUCGCGGCUUGCGCUGCGCGGCGCCUUCGGACCGAUACCCCAGGUCAGGCGGGGCUACCCGCUGAGUUUAAGCAUAUAAAUAAGCGGAGGAGAAGAAACUUACAAGGAUUCCCCUAGUAACGGCGAGCGAACCGGGAGCAGCCCAGCCUUAGAAUCGCGGUGGCACUGCCGCCCGA